rnacentral:piRNA from 1 species
UUGGGUUUUCAUAUUUGAAAU